ACAUUUAUUCUAUUCAACAUUCUGAGGGUUUUUACAGAGAGCUUUGUUUUGUUUACUGUCUGUGGACCUGGAAGGAGCAGCUUCAUAUCUGGAAAAAAGAUUCACAAUCAACGGUUUGUUUAACAGAAGAGAUCAUCUUAGUUCAAAGUGGCACCAAAUCCAUGUCAUGUUUGGGUCGUAUGUUGGCCUUUAACUUUGAGCAGGUGUGUUAUUUACAGUGUUUAUGGUAGAAUGUGACCGUUUUAAUGGCAGAUCACAUGGAAGUAACAUGAGCCAGUUUGAAAUAGUGAGUUAUGCAGAAGAACAACAUGAAGAAGAAAUUCAAAGUUUUUAAUCAGUAAAUAUGUUAGAUUAUAUUUUUAAUCUAUUUUGUGUACUUGUUGAUGGAAAACGUUUCAUAAAAGAAACCUUAAUAAUGUUGCCUUUUAAUGUUUUAACCCUCCUGUUGUCCUCAUUUACAGGCACCAAAAAACAUCGUUUCCUCGGAUAAAAAAAAAAAAAAUUA